GUAGCGCAAUGGAUAACGAGUUGAAUUUCUAAUCCAAAGGUAGUGGGUUCGAAUCCCACGAAUCG